UCGAUGAAGAACGCAGCGAAAUGCGAUAAGUAAUGUGAAUUGCAGAAUUCAGUGAAUCAUCGAAUCUUUGAACGCACCUUGCGCUCCUUGGUAUUCCGAGGAGCAUGCCUGUUUGAGUGUCAUUAAUAUAUAUAUCAACCUUCUCUUGUUGAGUGGUUUGGAUGUGGGGUUUGCUGGCCUCUUAAAAGGUUCAGCUCCUCUGAAAUGUAUUAGCAGAACAAACCUGUUCAUUGGUGUGAUAACUAUCUACGCUAUUGAAUGUGAGGGGCAGUUCAGCUUUCUAACAGUCCUUUUGGACAAAUCAUCAUUAAUGUGACCUCAAAUCAGGUAGGACUACCCGCUGAACUUAA
rnacentral:rRNA from 1 species